rnacentral:rRNA from 1 species
GUCGAACGGUAACAGGAAACAGCUUGCUGUUUCGCUGACGAGUGGCGGACGGGUGAGUAAUGUCUGGGAAACUGCCUGAUGGAGGGGGAUAACUACUGGAAACGGUAGCUAAUACCGCAUAACGUCGCAAGACCAAAGAGGGGGACCCUCGGGCCUCUUGCCAUCGGAUGUGCCCAGAUGGGAUUAGCUUGUUGGUGGGGUAACGGCUCACCAAGGCGACGAUCCCUAGCUGGUCUGAGAGGAUGACCAGCCACACUGGAACUGAGACACGGUCCAGACUCCUACGGGAGGCAGCAGUGGGGAAUAUUGCACAAUGGGCGCAAGCCUGAUGCAGCCAUGCCGCGUGUAUGAAGAAGGCCUUCGGGUUGUAAAGUACUUUCAGCGGGGAGGAAGGGAGUAAAGUUAAUACCUUUGCUCAUUGACGUUACCCGCAGAAGAAGCACCGGCUAACUCCGUGCCAGCAGCCGCGGUAAUACGGAGGGUGCAAGCGUUAAUCGGAAUUACUGGGCGUAAAGCGCACGCAGGCGGUUUGUUAAGUCAGAUGUGAAAUCCCCGGGCUCAACCUGGGAACUGCAUCUGAUACUGGCAAGCUUGAGACUCGUAGAGGGGGGUAGAAUUCCAGGUGUAGCGGUGAAAUGCGUAGAGAUCUGGAGGAAUACCGGUGGCGAAGGCGGCCCCCUGGACGAAGACUGACGCUCAGGUGCGAAAGCGUGGGGAGCAAACAGG